rnacentral:rRNA from 1 species
AGAGUUUGAUCAUGGCUCAGAUUGAACGCUGGCGGCAUGGCUAAAACAUGCAAGUCGAACGAACCCGCAAGGGUGAGUGGCGAAAGGGUUAGUAAUACGAUCGAACGUACCCCGAGGUGGUGGAUAGCUGUGGGAAACUGCAGGUAAUACACCAUGAUCUCUACGGAGCAAAGUUUUAACGCCUUAGGAGCGGCGAUCGUCCUAUCAGGUAGUUGGUGGGGUAAAAGCCUACCAAGCCGAAGACGGGUAGCGGGUGUGAGAGCACGGCCCGCAACAUCGGAACUGAGACACUGUCCGGACUCCUACGGGAGGCUGCAGUAACGAAUCUUCCGCAAUGGGCGCAAGCCUGACGGAGCAAUGCCGCGUGCGGGAUGAAGUAUCUCUGGUAUGUAAACCGCUGUCAGGGGACGGAAACAAUGAUUGUCCCCAGAGGAAGUGGCGACUAACUCUGUGCCAGCAGUCGCGGUAAUACAGAGGCCACGAGCAUUAGUCGGAAUCACUGGGCUUAAAGGGUGCGUAGGUGGCUUGCCAAGUGCUUUGUGAAAUCCCACGGCUCAACCGUGGAACAGCAGGGCAUACUGGCAGGCUUGAGGCAAGUAGGGGCUGACGGAACAGUAGGUGGAGCGGUGAAAUGCGUAGAUAUCUACUGGAACGCCGAUGGUGAAGACGGUCAGCUGGGCUUGUCCUGACACUGAGGCACGAAAGCGUGGGGAGCAAACAGGAUUAGAUACCCUGGUAGUCCACGCCGUAAACGAUGCGCACUAGACCGGUGCGGUUUUGACGCCGUAUCGGUCGUAGUAAAAACGAUAAGUGCGCCGCCUGGGGAGUACGGUCGCAAGGCUAAAACUCAAAUGAAUUGACGGGGGCUCACACAAGCGGUGGAGCAUGGGGCUAUCGUGACUGGGAAACAGAUCGGAAGAGCACACGUCUGAACUCCAGUCACUCCGCGAAAUCUCGUAUGCCGUCUUCUGCUUGAAAAAAA